rnacentral:rRNA from 1 species
ACUCAAAUGAAUAGACGGGGGCCCGCACAAGCGGUGGAGCAUGUGGUUUAAUUCGACGCAACGCGAAGAACCUUACCAAGGUUUGACAUCCCUCUGCCCGGCGCAGAGAUGCGUCUUUAUCUUCGGAUACAGAGGAGACAGGUGGUGCAUGGUUGUCGUCAGCUCGUGUCGUGAGAUGUUGGGUUAAGUCCCGCAACGAGCGCAACCCUUAUGUUUAGUAGCCAGCGGGUUAAGCCGGGCACACUAAAGAGACUGCCGUGGACAACACGGAGGAAGGUGGGGAUGACGUCAAAUCAUCAUGCCCCUUAUAUCUUGGGCUACACACGUGCUACAAUGGCUCAAACAAAGUGACGCGAAGCUGUGAAGCGGAGCAAAUCACGAAAAAGAGUCUCAGUUCGGAUUGCAGGCUGCAACUCGCCUGUAUGAAGUUGGAAUCGCUAGUAAUCGCGAAUCAGCAUGUCGCGGUGAAUACGUUCCCGGGCCUUGUACACACCGCCCGU